UACAGAGGGUGCAAGCGUUGUUCGGAAUCAUUGGGCGUAAAGGGCGUGUAGGCGGUCUGUUAAGUCAUGUGUGAAAUCCCUCGGCUCAACCGGGGAACGACGCAUGAAACUGACAAGCUAGAGUACCAAAGAGGGGGGUGGAAUUCCCGGUGUAGCGGUGAAAUGCGUAGAGAUCGGGAGGAACAUCAGUGGCGAAGGCGGCCAUCUGGGACAACACUGACGCUGAAGCACGAAAGCGUGGGGAGCAAACAGG
rnacentral:rRNA from 1 species